rnacentral:misc_RNA from 1 species
GAUGAAGAACGUAGCGAAAUGCGAUAAGUAAUGUGAAUUGCAGAAUUCCGUGAAUCAUCGAAUCUUUGAACGCACAUUGCGCCCCCUGGCAUUCCGGGGGGCAUGCCUGUCCGAGCGCCAUUUCUGCCCUCAAGCACGGCUUGUGUGUUGGGUGUGGUCCCCCCGGGGACCUGCCCGAAAGGCAGCGGCGACGUCCGUCUGGUCCUCGAGCGUAUGGGGCUCUGUCACUCGCUCGGGAAGGACCUGCGGGGGUUGGUCACCACCAUGUUUUACCACGGUUGACCUCGGAUCAGGUAGGAGUUACCCGCUGAACUUAAGCAUAUCAAUAAGCGGAGGA